UCGAACGAACUCUGGUAUUGAUUGGUGCUUGCAUCAUGAUUUACAUUUGAGUGAGUGGCGAACUGGUGAGUAACACGUGGGAAACCUGCCCAGAAGCGGGGGAUAACACCUGGAAACAGAUGCUAAUACCGCAUAACAACUUGGACCGCAUGGUCCGAGCUUGAAAGAUGGCUUCGGCUAUCACUUUUGGAUGGUCCCGCGGCGUAUUAGCUAGAUGGUGGGGUAACGGCUCACCAUGGCAAUGAUACGUAGCCGACCUGAGAGGGUAAUCGGCCACAUUGGGACUGAGACACGGCCCAAACUCCUACGGGAGGCAGCAGUAGGGAAUCUUCCACAAUGGACGAAAGUCUGAUGGAGCAACGCCGCGUGAGUGAAGAAGGGUUUCGGCUCGUAAAACUCUGUUGUUAAAGAAGAACAUAUCUGAGAGUAACUGUUCAGGUAUUGACGGUAUUUAACCAGAAAGCCACGGCUAACUACGUGCCAGCAGCCGCGGUAAUACGUAGGUGGCAAGCGUUGUCCGGAUUUAUUGGGCGUAAAGCGAGCGCAGGCGGUUUUUUAAGUCUGAUGUGAAAGCCUUCGGCUCAACCGAAGAAGUGCAUCGGAAACUGGGAAACUUGAGUGCAGAAGAGGACAGUGGAACUCCAUGUGUAGCGGUGAAAUGCGUAGAUAUAUGGAAGAACACCAGUGGCGAAGGCGGCUGUCUGGUCUGUAACUGACGCUGAGGCUCGAAAGUAUGGGUAGCAAACAGGAUUAGAUACCCUGGUAGUCCAUACCGUAAACGAUGAAUGCUAAGUGUUGGAGGGUUUCCGCCCUUCAGUGCUGCAGCUAACGCAUUAAGCAUUCCGCCUGGGGAGUACGGCCGCAAGGCUGAAACUCAAAGGAAUUGACGGGGGCCCGCACAAGCGGUGGAGCAUGUGGUUUAAUUCGAAGCUACGCGAAGAACCUUACCAGGUCUUGACAUACUAUGCAAAUCUAAGAGAUUAGACGUUCCCUUCGGGGACAUGGAUACAGGUGGUGCAUGGUUGUCGUCAGCUCGUGUCGUGAGAUGUUGGGUUAAGUCCCGCAACGAGCGCAACCCUUAUUAUCAGUUGCCAGCAUUAAGUUGGGCACUCUGGUGAGACUGCCGGUGACAAACCGGAGGAAGGUGGGGAUGACGUCAAAUCAUCAUGCCCCUUAUGACCUGGGCUACACACGUGCUACAAUGGAUGGUACAACGAGUUGCGAACUCGCGAGAGUAAGCUAAUCUCUUAAAGCCAUUCUCAGUUCGGAUUGUAGGCUGCAACUCGCCUACAUGAAGUCGGAAUCGCUAGUAAUCGCGGAUCAGCAUGCCGCGGUGAAUACGUUCCCGGGCCUUGUACACACCGCCCGUCACACCAUGAGAGUUUGUAACACCCAAAGUCGGUGGGGUAA
rnacentral:rRNA from 2 species